rnacentral:lncRNA from 1 species
GCAGAUUUGCAGCAGUUAAUGGUCCAUCUCCUGUGCAAUGUAAAUCCAAAGUUAGCUGUGCCCUCAAAAGGUGCUUUUCCCCUUCUAUAAAGUGGUGGAGUAAGUGCUCAAGUCUCAAAACUUCAGAAGUCAUUCCGUGUCUGUUUUCUUUUGCUUGUCAUUAGCUACAGAGUAAAACAGCCCUUCGCUGUCUCCUGUUGAGGUUUCACAUGUACCAGGGCUGUUUCCAGACACCUGGACAUCGCUAUGGGGCAGCCCAUUGCGGAGGGCUGAUCCAAAAUGGUGGGAAUGGACAUGAAUCCCUGUGGACCUCCUUAAUACAGAGUCAAUCCUGAGGAAGGCCAGAGAGAAACCACUUUCCAAUGAUGCUCUAGCAGCAGUAGCUCUCCAGAGGCUGUGUGCAGGUGUUUUCCUCUCCCAUCUCUCAGGUGAGGAGAAGCAAGGCAGACCUGAAUAUAGGAGGUUCCCCAGACCAUGCAGUGACACAGACAUAAGGAAGAACUGCUGAACUGGUGCCUCAUGCCCCACCCUCACAGGGCAGAGCAAGGUCUCACUGUUUGGGUGGGCUGGCCAGACCCCCAGCUUCCUGAGUGACCAUCAGGCCAUGUAACAAACUGAAUCAACUCUUCCUAAGUCCACCAGGCUUGCACCAGCCUUUCUGGCACAACCAGUGACUGCCAGCACAGGCUUAUCCACCUUCCUCAUCUUCCUCAGCACCCAGAACGUGCUUCAGUACAUGUGUGGAAGUAGCAUUUCUGCUUGUGAGGGCUUGGAAAUUUUGCUUGCAUCAUUCCUCAAAUGAACAGCAGCACCAAAAGAAAAGAAAAAUGAAAAAAACCAAAACCAACCAACCAAAAAAAACCACCAACAAACAAAACCCAGCUCUAACAUAGGACUUACUGCAGGCUUACUACAGGGAGUAAAAGAGAAACUCUCCCAGGUCCAGCCAGUUUUCUCCUACCUCCCUCAGAAAGUGGGUGACUGGUAUCAAGGUGAAUCUGGAGCCCAGCACUCCUGGUAAAAAUCCAGCCCCUGCCACAAGGAAGCUCUUUCAAAAUCUGUGCAGGGAGCAGUGGAAGGA